rnacentral:rRNA from 1 species
UACGUAGGGUGCGAGCGUUAAUCGGAUUUACUGGGCGUAAAGCGUGCGCAGGCGGCCCGUUAAGACAGGUGUGAAAUCCCUGGGCUCAACCUAGGAAUUGCGCUUGUGACUGGCGGGCUCGAGUACGGUAGAGGGGGGUGGAAUUCCUGGUGUAGCAGUGAAAUGCGUAGAGAUCAGGAGGAACACCGAUGGCGAAGGCAGACCCCUGGGCCUGUACUGACGCUCAUGCACGAAAGCGUGGGGAGCAAACAGG